rnacentral:rRNA from 1 species
CCGGAUACCCCGGGGUGCCGCAUGGCACCCCGGCUAAAGCCCCGACGGGAGGGGAUGGCUCCGCGGCCCAUCAGGUAGACGGCGGGGUGACGGCCCACCGUGCCGACAACGGGUAGCCGGGUUGAGAGACCGACCGGCCAGAUUGGGACUGAGACACGGCCCAGACUCCUACGGGAGGCAGCAGUGGGGAAUCUUGCGCAAUGGGGGGAACCCUGACGCAGCGACGCCGCGUGCGGGACGGAGGCCUUCGGGUCGUAAACCGCUUUCAGCAGGGAAGAGUCAAGACUGUACCUGCAGAAGAAGCCCCGGCUAACUACGUGCCAGCAGCCGCGGUAAUACGUAGGGGGCGAGCGUUAUCCGGAUUCAUUGGGCGUAAAGCGCGCGUAGGCGGCCCGGCAGGCCGGGGGUCGAAGCGGGGGGCUCAACCCCCCGAAGCCCCCGGAACCUCCGCGGCUUGGGUCCGGUAGGGGAGGGUGGAACACCCGGUGUAGCGGUGGAAUGCGCAGAUAUCGGGUGGAACACCGGUGGCGAAGGCGGCCCUCUGGGCCGAGACCGACGCUGAGGCGCGAAGGCUGGGGGAGCGAACAGGAUUAGAUACCCUGGUAGUCCCAGCCGU